UUUAUUUGCUAAAUAAACGGACAACUGUCGAAAAAGAGUUGUCUAUUAAAAGGUGGGUCAAACGGCGUUCCGUAAUACACUGUACUGAACCAUUCAAAUGACGUCUAGUGAAAAUCAACCUUCAAACAAUCGUGUGUAUCGUGAAAAUGAGUGUCCCUCAGGCUAACGGGAACUUUGCGAACACAGGGAGCCGUUGAAUGCCCUAAUUUGCUGAAUUUAUUGCCACUAGAUUGCAGUGCAGGAUAAAUCAUCUUCAAAAGUAUUCGAAGUGGUUAGCUAUCCACCAUUCCAUUUCAUGAGGGAAGUUUCACUUAUUCCGAAACGAAACUUGAUGUCCAUUUUCAGCUGGCUUGUUGUGACACAAGCAUAAUAGAUACGCCGUUAUGACAACGAAAUUUCCGAAAAAUGAGACGUCCGAAAGCACAAAAAUCAAGACCGGAAACCAAUCUAAUUGACUUCCUUGUGCCUAGUGUUUCUGGCCAUCUGGUUGCAAUAGUUUCCAAGACUACCUUAUGUGCAACUCUUUCAGCGCCUCCUUUGGAGAUAACUGUCAUUACUAGUUUGCUAAAAAGUUAAGUUUUUCAUAGACUCUAAACUAGGUGAUCUUAAUCUUAAAUAAUAGGAUUCACAGCUCUGUAUAUAUUUCUAUUUGCCAUAUCGCAUAGAUCUCUACAUAACUUCAA